AUCUUCCGUGAGGCAUUCCAAGAGUUCUCAGGGACAUGCUUCCUAAAUACUAUCGACAUCUAAAUAAGCACGGCUCGUCAUUGUUGACCACAUUAUAUGGACUUCACGUAGUGAGACCCGUCGGAGGUAUUAAGGUUUACUUUGUAGGCAUGUCAAACGUCUUGCAAUCAGAUUUGCACUU